rnacentral:tRNA from 1 species
GCCAUAGCUCAGUUGGUAGAGCAAAGGACUGAAAAUCCUUGUGUCCCCGGUUCGAUUCCUGGUGGCACCA